AUGAACGCUGGCGGCGUGUCUAAGGCAUGCAAGUCGUGCGGAUUAUUUUCGGUAGCAAUACUGGAGAUAGUCAGCGGCAAACGGGUGCGUAACACAUUGGCAAUCUGCCUCACAGUCGGGCAUAACCCCGCGAAAGCGGGACUAAUUCCACGAUGGCCUCUCCCUAACAUAUGUGAAGGAGAGUAAAGCGCAAAACGCGCUGUGAGAGGAGCCUAUGGCCUAUCAGCUAGUUGGCGGGGUAAUAGCCCACCAAGGCGAUGACGGGUAGGGGAUGUGAGAGCAUGAUCCCCCUCACUGGGACUGAGACACUGCCCAGACACCUACGGGUGGCUGCAGUCGAGAAUAUUCGGCAAUGGACGAAAGUCUGACCGAGCGACGCCGCGUGCAGGAUGAAGGGCUUCGGCUCGUAAACUGCUUUUUUCAGGGAAGAAUUCUGACGGUACCUGAAGAAUAAGAGGUUGCUAACUCUGU
rnacentral:rRNA from 1 species